GGGGAAUUAGCUCAAAUGCUAGAGUGCUUGCUUAGCAUGCGAGAGGUAGUGGGAUCAAUUCCCACAUUCUCCA
rfam:Salmo salar isolate Sally breed double haploid chromosome ssa27, whole genome shotgun sequence.